rnacentral:rRNA from 1 species
GACGAACGCUGGCGGCGUGCCUAAUACAUGCAAGUGGGACGCAAGGAAACACACUGUGCUUGCACACCGUGUUUUCUUGAGUCGCGAACGGGUGAGUAACGCGUAGGUAACCUGCCUAUUAGCGGGGGAUAACUAUUGGAAACGAUAGCUAAUACCGCAUAAUAUUAAUUAUUGCAUGAUAAUUGAUUGAAAGAUGCAAGCGCAUCACUAGUAGAUGGACCUGCGUUGUAUUAGCUAGUUGGUAAGGUAAGAGCUUACCAAGGCGACGAUACAUAGCCGACCUGAGAGGGUGAUCAGCCACACUGGGACUGAGACACGGCCCAGACUCCUACGGGAGGCAGCAGUAGGGAAUCUUCGGCAAUGGACGAAAGUCUGACCGAGGAAAGCCGCGUGAGUGAAGAAGGGUGUCGGAUCGUAAAGCUCGGUUGUAAGUCAAGAACGUGUGUGAGAGUGGAAAGUUCACACAGUGACGGUAGCUUACCAGAAAGGGACGGCUAACUACGUG